AUCCUUUCGUCAUGUUACAGAUUUCGCAGAUGUUACUUGAGAGUGAGAGAGUGAGAGAGAGAGAGAGAGAGAGAGAGAGAUGGAGCAAACGGUAGCAAGUCCUCAUGUGCUUCUCUUUCCCUUCCCGGGACAGGGCAACAUGAACUCGAUGCUCAACUUAGCAGAGUUCCUCUGCAACGCCGGUCUUCACAUCACCUUCCUCAACUCCAAUCACAACCAGCAACGCCUUCUCCGCUUCACAAAUGCCCAAGAACGCUUCAGUCGCUGGCCUAAAUUCCGAUUCCAAACCAUCCCUGAUGGUCUUCCAGCCGAUCACCCUCGUUCCGCUGCCACCUUCUUCGAAAUCUUAGACUCCAUGAAAGCUACUGCAAAGCCACUUUUCCGUGAGAUGAUGAUCAUGGCUUCUCGGAAGGAAUCGGGACUUUGGCCACCCUUGAGCUGCUUUAUAAUAGAUGGGCUCAUGCCUUUCGCCAUUGAUGUUGCAGAAGAGCUUAGUAUUCGUGUAAUUGUUUAUCGCGCCAUCAGUGCUUGCUGCUUGUGGACUUUCUUCUGUCUUCCUGGACUCUUUGCAGCAGCUGAGCUUCCCUUUCAAGGAGGAGAUGUUGAAGAUGACAUGGACGUGACCAUAAAGAAUGUGCCUGGAAUGCAAGGAUUUCUCCGUCGCCGAGAUCUUCCUAGUUUCUUCCAAACAAAAGACCCAACUGACCCAAUCUUUCAACAGAUUGGUGUCGAGUGUCAAAAGAUGACUCAAGCAUAUGGUCUCAUAAUCAACACCUUUGAAGACCUGGAAAGCCCAGUACUCACUCAAUUCCGUUCUCAAGUCCCUAAUCUUUACACAGUUGGUCCCCUCCAUGCCCUUACAUUGCGAAGACAACAUUCUAGCUCCUCAAUGACUUCCAAUAUUGCUGUUUCAAACAGCCUAUGGGAUGAGGAUAGAAGUUGCAUAACAUGGCUUGAUUCUCAGCCACCAAAAUCUGUGGUAUACAUGAGUUUUGGAAGCUUAGUGGUUUAUGAUAAAGACACACUAAUGGAGUUCUGGCAUGGGUUGGUCAAUAGUGGGAAACUCUUCUUGUGGGUUGUACGGCAAGAUUCUAUUAAUAUAAGUGGUGGUGAGGGUACAUCUUUUCUAGCAGAAGUGGUGGAUGGGGCAAAGGAAAGGGGUUCUUUGGUGGUGGGAUGGGCACCGCAGGAGGAAGUCCUAAGCCACCCAGCUCUGGGUGUGUUUUUGACCCACAGUGGGUGGAAUUCGACAAUGGAGGGCAUCUAUGCUGGUGUGCCAAUGAUAUGUUGGCCGUUUUUUGCAGACCAGCAGAUCAAUAGCAGGUUUGUGAGUGAGGUCUGGAAGGUGGGUGUGGCCUUAGACAAAUGUGAUAGAUGGACCAUAGAGAGAGUGGUGAAGGACGUGAUGGAACAAAAGAGGGAGGUGCUGGUAGAGUCGAUAGAUGGAUUGGCAAAGCUAGCAAGGAGGUGCAUUAGUGAAGGUGGCUCCUCUCGUUCUAACUUGGAUAGGCUGAUCCAAGAUCUAAGGUCGGUCCGUGAAUCUGUGUAUGACACUUCAACAUCUACCUUAGUGGGGUAGUGGAUUCAGCCCUUCACCUUCUCGUCUUCUCCAAUUCUGUCGUUUAAUGUAGACAAUGGUCAGAUACUGAUGAUGAUGAAGAAGAGGUGGAGUAGGAAGAGGGUGUGUUGGGAGCUUGGCUUGAUGACAAGGACAAAGAUGCAUCAACCUUUUACAAUACGGAAGAAGAAGAAGAAGAGGAGUGGAGAGGAGAGGAAUAACAGUUGAGUUGUUUUAGAUUUGACUCUGCUUCUGAAGUAUUGGUGGAAGGGGAAGAGGAAGAGACGCUAAGGCCAAGCAAGAGAUCUUGUCUUCGUUACAAUGAUGAUGAAGCAGCUGGUCCUUCUCUUAGCCUGACUUUAACACCAAUGGAAGUGGAUUCAAAUAAUGGUUAAUUUGCUUCUUUUGAUGUUGUUUAACAUGCUUAAGUGGUUGUGUUUAUUCUGGAAUCAGUUUAUUAUGUGAAAAUAGUUUUAUAAUGAAGUUUAAAUGUAUGGGAAUGUACUAACUCCUUCAUGUGCUUCCUUGUCAAGUGGAUGUUUUCCAUCCAAUUUUAGAUUGAAUUGUCUAUUGGAAGAUAGGUUCCUCUGUUCUUGUCCA